rnacentral:rRNA from 1 species
AGUGAACGCUGGCGGUAGGCCUAACACAUGCAAGUCGAACGGCAGCACAGUAAGAGCUUGCUCUUACGGGUGGCGAGUGGCGGACGGGUGAGGAAUACAUAGCAAUCUACUUUUUCUUGGGGGAUAACGUAGGGCAACUUACGCUAAUACCGCAUACUUUCUACGGCUUGAAUCAAGAGUGCUUCGGAGCUUUCCCGUCUCUUAGAGCCGAUGCCGGAUUAGCUAGUUGGUGAGGUAAGGGACCACCAAGGCGACGAUCCGUAGCAGAGCUGAGAGGAUGAUCAGCCACACUGGAACUGAGACACGGUCCAGACUCCUACGGGAGGCAGCAGUAGGGAAUAUUGGACAAUGGGCGAAAGCCUGAUCCAGCCAUACCGCGUGAGUGAAGAAGGCCUUCGGGUCGUAAAGCCCUUUUGUUAGGAAAGAAAAGCAGCAGGUUAAUACCCCGCUGUUCUGACGGUACCCAAAGAAUAAGCACCGGCUAACUUCGUG